CAGCCCCCUCCCCUAACCCUAGCCCCCUCCCCCGCCGCCCACUUCCCCGGCGUCGUCGCCGUCGUCCACCACCACCUCCACCGCGCCCCAACCCUAUCCCCGUUGCUUCCGCCCCCACCUUCUUCCAAUCCCCUCACCUUCUCUCCCGUGGCCGGUGGAUUCGCCCCUCGCGGGAUCGAUUCCUCCGAGCCGACAGGGUCUUCAGGGCCGGACGGGAGCGGCGCGUCCCCCAUCGGCGCGUUGGUGAGCGCGGCGGCGGCCGUGGCCGAGCUCGAGCCCGUAGCUCAGAUCCUUCAGGGCCGGACGGGAGCGGCGCGUCCCCCAUCGGCGCGUUGGUGAGCGCGGCGGCGGCCGUGGCCGAGCUCGAGCCGGCCCUUCUCCGCGCCGGCGACGCGUGCAGCAAAGAAUGGAAGGCGUGCGUUCUGUCGGCAUCUGAUCCAGAUGACCUCACGCCUCCGCGCCCGUCCUCCUUCCCCGUUGCCCCUCCUCUCGAGCCACCGGCUGGCGCUCUCCCUUCGCCGGAAGAGCCUCCCACUCCUCCUCCGGAAGCUAUUUGUGGCCCAGUUGUUCAGAGAUGGAUCUACCGGCUCGAUCGAGGAGCGGCGGGGGUAGAAGUGCAAGGCGAGGAGUGCUUGAUGCGAAGAGCUCAUAACAGCCACGCGUCCGCCUUUACUGGCGAGCGCAUCAAGUUCCCAACCGGACACUAGGUUUUGAAUCUUAAAUGAUGGCUGCUUGAUAAUUUGUCCAAGUUGAGAUCCACCACCGACGAUAAGAGUUUGCUACCCUGCUCCUAUGAAGGUAGCCGAAGGCCUGCACCUCCCACCGUUCCAAUUUUUUCGGUUGAAUCAAGUGUCAAUUAAUGAGAUGGAUGUGUUGUUCAUGCUCUUUGAGAAGGCCAGCCGCUCCAGACGACGAUUUUGUAGGAUACACGCUGAAUGCGUCGCUCGCCUGUCACUCCUUCGCUAGGAGGGGCGCAACAUGCUACUCGCUCCGAUGCUCCAGGUUGAAGCGGCGAUGGCGGUUGUAGCGUGACUGACGGCAUCAGCAACAAGCAGUUACUCAUCUUUGCAUCAGCAACAGAUGGAUUAUGGAAUUGUUUCAAUCUGGAUAAUUCGCUUGGAAAAAAUUGUCACGUACACUACCAGAAGGGUGAGAGUGAAUUUCAAUAGGCUUAUGACAAAGGAAUGCCCAAAUCAAAGUUCUGGGAGCCUACAUAUGAAGAUUGCUUAAAUAUGAUUGAUGUACCGCAGGUAUUCCCCCGUCGCUCCUCCACUCCAGGUUCCCUCUCUCUCUCUCUAUCUAUCUCUCUCUCUCUCUCUCUCUCUCUAACCUCUGCUCCCAUCAUCUUGGAACUACAUGAGACGAACAUGUCGUCUUAGGCUCGGACGUUGUUGGUCGCCGGCUUGGCCUGCAAGAGGAUGCCCCCCUGCUCUGACUUGCUCACAUCUCAGUGUUUCACCAAUGAAGAUGUAUUUUCAAGAACCAGAGUCAUCGAUGCAGUGAGGAUGAUUUUCGCAUCCGCUGGCUGAGGGGCAAGCUGGGGCUGCAGUCCCUGAACAUAGUGGUUCUACUGUGACGAUCUCAUCUCUCUCACUAUGCGUGUAUCUCUCUCUAUCACGUCUCCCUUUUUGCUAAUCAUUCAUGCAUUUCAUGAUCACUAAGGUUUUUUUAGCUUUGUAGUUGCUGAUUGCUGGGAGAAUGAUUAUCCUGAUUAAUAAGAUUUAAAUGUGUUAGACCAGACCAAGAUGGAUUAGUUUUGAUGUAUAUUUUGGGUUAGAAAAAUGUCAAACCUUAACAUUUAGAAGAAGCUUUACAUAGUUGGAUCCAUUACAGUGCUACCUUGGUCGUUGCUGUAGGUGAAGGCCUUGCGUUGGGACUCUGUGCCUCCUAAACUAAGAACAAAUGAACUUGCCUUUAGGCUUUUCGCACUGCACUAUGCAUCCAGGUCCAACCCAAUGGUUAGGACGGCGGUUCUUGCAUAGCAUACAUGGAGAUGGUACAUGUGGGGAAGAAAUAUAAGAAACUCAUGCUCAUCAGCGAGGGCAGGGGUCAUAUAGUCUUCCACUCCAUCACCUUCCGCUCGGCCACUUUCGGCAAAGCAGACUAUGUACAACCUCUUCUUUUUGAAGCCCUCGGCCCCUCACCACCUGUUGAAGUUGAGGGCAGCAGCUCGCACUGUGAGGGGCUUCGGCGACGGGGCCUAUUAUGCACAUGAUGGUGUGCUACUCUCAUGGAUAGAGGUCAUCCAUGGCUUGAGUGAGUAGCCCCAAAAGCAGGUGGUAUGGCAAGCCGCGGGAAGCUCAGGGCAGGGUCAGCAGCUUCAACAGCUUCAACUGCACCAAUGCAACUGUAUGUCUCUUCAGAGAUGUGUCGUUAGCUGAUGAGGUUAUCCCCACUAAAGCCAAGAAGGUCAGGCGCAACUAAAACCAGGAAGGCCAAUUGUUGUUAAGUGCUCGCCCUUUUGGACCUUAUCAUUUUGUUUGUGGAUGCGCGAAAGAAUGAUGUCUGGAUAUGGGAGUGUCUCUUUAGAUGUAGAUAUAGAUGGUACCUGAAGCAACUAAACCGCGUAUGGGGAUUUAACAUUGUCUUUGGUGGAAAAGGCCCUCAAUUCUCGGCCACUGUUCUAUUUUUGAUUUCUUGCUUGGUCGUGUAGAUGUCGUGGGUAUUGUAGUCAAGGUUUCUGAUGUACUCCUGUUCCAGCCGCAACCAUGGCAAACUGUGACACUUACUAUGAAUCAUAAAUAGUUCUCUCUAUCUCUUUA